rnacentral:rRNA from 1 species
AUGAGUGUGUUCAAGCUUCCAGCCUCCGUGCGUGAUGACCUAACACGGAUGAUGCGACAGUAUUGGUGGGUUGAGAAUGGAAAGAAAAGAUGGCAUGACUUAGUUGGAAAAAAAAUGAAAUUGCCCAAAUCAAUGGGAGGAAUGGGAUUUAGAGAUAUGCGGGCAUUUCAAGCGUUGUUAGCAAAACAAGCUUGGCGGUUGCUGGAUAACCCCGAUAGUCUAUGUGCUUGUUUAUUGCGUGCAAAAUACUACCCUACUGGGAAUUUGUUGGACACUAUUUUCCCUAGCAGUUCGUCGGCAAUAUGGAAGGGUAUUAGUCAUGGUCUGGAUCUGCUGAAGAAGGGGAUUAUCUGGAGAGUUGGUGAUGGUACCUUAAUUAAAACCUGGCGUGAUCCUUGGAUUCCAUGGGGGCACGACCUUAGGCCAAUUACACCAAAGAGAAAUUGUCGUUAUAAUUGGGUCGAGGACUUUCUGGAUGAACAUGGAGCAUGGGAUGUGCAACGACUAAGAGAGCACUUUUGGGACAUUGAUGUUUGUGAAAUUCUGAAAAUUCGUACUUCUCCAAGGAAUAGACAAGAUUUCAUUGGUUGGUUCCCGGAGAAGAACGAAUGCUUUUCUGUGAGGAGCGCCUACCGGCUGGCAACCGGGAAUCAUGCGAUAGGUGCCUCAAGUCACAACCCUACCGGAGUGCGUCCUAUUUGGUAA